rnacentral:lncRNA from 1 species
UUCAAACAGCUAAUAAAUCCAUUGUAAAACUCAUUAAUAACAAAGCAAAUGAUACCGCAAGUUCGUUCAGCUCAAUAUACACCAAUGUGUCAGGAAGACAACAUCCAGAGCGCAGUGUCUGUGCCGGCGGUCCA